rnacentral:lncRNA from 1 species
CCAAAUUACAUAUGUAGAAAAAUAAUGACUAUAGAUAGAUACCAAACCACACAACAAACACAUUACACUGUUAUAAGACAGAACAAAAACACAAUUACUACAUAUUUAAGAUCAAUAAAACAAAAUUAAUCCUUGUGUUACACUUACACAUAUAUAACGAAGUACAUGCUUGACCAGUACAUGUUCUGUUACAUGAAUCGAUCCUGGAAGAAAGGCGUUACCUUCCCUUUGCCUUCAUGACUUGCCUUUUCCUUCAUCUCUUUUCACAUCAGGGAACAAGAGAGUGCAAUUCUUUGAUCACACCAUCAUCAUCUUCUUCAUUUUCUUCUUUCUCCAUAUCUUGAUCUAAUUUGUUACGUACACAAUCAGAAAGGAAAGAAAUAGAGGUUGCUUAACAUUCAAGUAUAUAUAUAAUAUAAGGAAAAACUGGUUAGCAUGACCCAUAAUAUAAUAUGAAUCCUCUACAA